AACGUAGGACGCAAGCGUUAUCCGGAGUUACUGGGCGUAAAGCGCGGGCAGGCGGUCGCUUAAGUCUGAUGUGAAAUCUCCCGGCUCAACCGGGAGCAGCCAUUGGAAACUAGGCGACUGGAGUCUGGCAGAGGUAGGCGGAAUUCCGGGUGGAGUGGUGAAAUGCGUAGAGAUCCGGAGGAACACCAGAGGCGAAGGCGGCCUACUGGGCCUAAACUGACGCUGAGGGGCGAAAGCGUGGGGAGCGAACGGG
rnacentral:rRNA from 1 species